AUUCACCCUUGAAACUGGCUUCUUCAACAAUUCCUCGCCCACUUUCACAAGAUUCUCCAAAUUCUCUUUCGUGGCAACAUCCACAGAUGAAAGUGUUCCGGUCAAUGUGUCAUCCUGCAUUGAUUUUUCACACGUAUUAUAAGGUUAGAUUUCCCCACUUUGCUUCAUGAAUAAAUAAUUAAGCACCUGAAUUAGCAUGAUAAAUAAGCACCUGAAUUCGAAGAUAAUUUUCCUCAGAGUUGAGGGCUUGAAAAACAGUGGAAAUAUGAAAAUCAACCAUGUCAGCACUAGCUUGUGUGAAAACAUCCACUAAUGGAGUAGAAUGAUCACUAGUCAACCAUCCCAAGAGACCCCAUUUAGCUGCUUCUUCUGCAUCAUACUUUUCUUCUGAUUUUGCUGUACCAGUGCCCAGGGACAGGACUAGAAAUCGGCCAUAUUCCAUGGGGUUCAUGCGGUAGGAGUCAGGUCCCUCCUGAUUGAUUGCUUUUGAAACUUCACUGAUGGCAACUAAAGUCUGAUCAAAUUACAAAAGAAAUGAAUGAUAUAAGAUUCUUUAGUUAUACAAGCUCAAGAUGCGUUCGAAGAUUGAUAAAUCAUAAACAUACUGGAUUG